AUUGAACGCUGGCGGCAUGCCUUACACAUGCAAGUCGAACGGUAACAGGUCUUCGGAUGCUGACGAGUGGCGAACGGGUGAGUAAUACAUCGGAACGUGCCCGAUCGUGGGGGAUAACGGAGCGAAAGCUUUGCUAAUACCGCAUACGAUCUACGGACGAAAGCAGGGGACCGCAAGGCCUUGCGCGGACGGAGCGGCCGAUGGCAGAUUAGGUAGUUGGUGGGAUAAAAGCUUACCAAGCCGACGAUCUGUAGCUGGUCUGGGAGGACGACCAGCCACACUGGGACUGAGACACGGCCCAGACUCCUACGGGAGGCAGCAGUGGGGAAUUUUGGACAAUGGGCGCAAGCCUGAUUCAGCCAUGCCGCGUGCAGGAUGAAGGCCUUCGGGUUGUAAACUGCUUUUGUACGGAACGAAAAGACUCUGGUUAAUACCUGGGGUCCAUGACGGUACCGUAAGAAUAAGCACCGGCUAACUACGUGCCAGCCGCCGCCGUAACAC
rnacentral:rRNA from 1 species